rnacentral:tRNA from 1 species
GCCUGUGUGGCUCAGUCAGUUGAGCAUCUGAUUUUGGCUCAGGUCAUGAUCUCAUGGUUCAUGAGUUCAAGCCCCAUAUCAGGCU